CCUACGGGAGGCAGCAGUGGGGAAUUUUCCGCAAUGGGCGAAAGCCUGACGGAGCAACGCCGCGUGAGGGAUGAAGGCCUCUGGGCUGUAAACCUCUUUUAUCAAGGAAGAAGAUCUGACGGUACUUGAUGAAUAAGCCACGGCUAAUUCCGUGCCAGCAGCCGCGGUAAUACGGGAGUGGCAAGCGUUAUCCGGAAUUAUUGGGCGUAAAGCGUCCGCAGGCGGUCUUGUAAGUCUGUCGUUAAAGCGUGGAGCUCAACUCCAUUUCGGCGGUGGAAACUACAAGACUAGAGUGUGGUAGGGGCAGAGGGAAUUCCCGGUGUAGCGGUGAAAUGCGUAGAUAUCGGGAAGAACACCAGUGGCGAAGGCGCUCUGCUGGGCCAUAACUGACGCUCAUGGACGAAAGCUAGGGGAGCGAAAGGGAUUAGAUACCCCUGUAGUCCUAGCCGUAAACGAUGAACACUAGGUGUCGGGGGAAUCGACCCCCUCGGUGUCGUAGCUAACGCGUUAAGUGUUCCGCCUGGGGAGUACGCACGCAAGUGUGAACUCAAAUGAAUUGACCGGNUGNGAGUUGCGAGNGACACGAGGAGAGG
rnacentral:rRNA from 1 species